AUAAUGCCUUGGUGCCACUGGAUUUUAACAUGUCUGACACCCAUACUGUAAGAAGGAAAGGAAGAGUCUUUUGUCUCUUCGAGGACUCUGGGAGGUAGCAAGCGAGUGUGAACCUUAAGGUGUGAAACAGCUGUACUGCCUUUUGUUUCUGAAGAAGGUAUUUAACUGAGAGCCA